rnacentral:rRNA from 1 species
UACGUAGGUGACAAGCGUUAUUCGGAUUCACUGGGCGUAAAGGGUGCGCAGGCGGCCAAGUGUGUGAGGCGUGAAAGCCCGGGGCUUAACCUCGGAAUUGCACCUCAAACUACAUGGCUAGAGCAUUGGAGAGGGUAGCAGAAUUCACGGUGUAGCAGUGAAAUGCGUAGAUAUCGUGAGGAAUACCAGAGGCGAAGGCGGCUACCUGGACAAUUGCUGACGCUCAGGCACGAAAGCGUGGGGAGCAAAAGGG